UUGCUCUUGUUGCCCAGCCUGGAGUGCAAUGGCACAAUAUUGGCUCACUGCAAUCUCUGCCUCCUGGGUUCAAGCGAUUCUCCUGCCUCAGCCUCCCGAGUAGCUGGGAUUAUAACUCAUGGUGAACCCUUAACGGGAGCUGCGAAGGAUGAAGAGUUAGACCAAUAUACUAAUUCAUCUCGCUUCUUCCCUGAUGAAAAUUUACAAGCAAGAAAAGUUGCAAAGCAAGCCUUGGGGGAAGGAAGAGAGUAUCAACAUCACAAUGAAAUCUGCAUUUGCCAUUUUAAGUCAGAUCGUGUAACAGGAAUUAGAGAAGCCUGCUGUGUUUAAAAAUCAUCUUUUGCCCUUGUGUGUGUGUGUUUCAGCAUUGAAAUAAUCAGUCGUCUUUCAAAUAUGAUUUAAUAGCAUAAUUAAAGUACCCACUAGCACAACUUUCGAAGCUAAGCUUUUCCUUUUUCUAGUGCACUUAGAAAUUUUUUCACUUGUGUUUGAUAGCCCAGACCAAUUGACUUAGAAUUCCCUGCCUGAUAUUGUAAAGAAUUUACUUCUAUUUAUGUCUUUUAACACAUAAAAUGUUCUAAACUGUCACCUGUAGUUAUGGUAGCAUGUAGGCAAUGAAGCUUAACAGGACAUCUGACUAAACUAGAUGUGACAUGUUAGUAUCACUAUACAUCAAAUUUGAUA